rnacentral:rRNA from 1 species
GAUGAACGCUAGCGGCAGGCCUAAUACAUGCAAGUCAGGGGUAAUUUUGCUUUCGGGCAGAAACGACCGGCGCACGGGUGCGUAACGCGUAUGCAACCUACCCACAACUGGGGGAUAGCCCGGAGAAAUCCGGAUUAAUACCCCAUAAUGCAGGGGUACUGCAUGGUACUAUUUGCUAAAGAUUUAUCGGUUGUGGAUGGGCAUGCGUCUGAUUAGUUAGUUGGUGAGGUAACGGCUCACCAAGGCGACGAUCAGUAGGGGGUCUGAGAGGAUGAUCCCCACACUGGUACUGAGAUACGGACCAGACUCCUACGGGAGGCAGCAGUAGGGAAUAUUGGUCAAUGGGCGGAAGCCUGAACCAGCCAUGCCGCGUGCAGGAUGACGGCCUUCUGGGUUGUAAACUGCUUUUAUCAGGGAAGAAAACGGCCAUGCGUGGCAGAUUGACGGUACCUGAAGAAUAAGCACCGGCUAACUCCGUG